GGAGCCGUAGCGAAAGCGAGUUUUAACUGAGCGUUCAGUUACUUGACGUAGACCCGAAACCGGGCGACCUACCCCUGAGCAGGAUGAAGCGAAAGUAAAAUUUCGUGGAGGUCCGAACCCACGAGCGUUGAAAAGCUCGGGGAUGACUUGUGGGUAGCGGUGAAAUUCCAAUCGAGCCCGGAGAUAGCUGGUUCUCCCCGAAAUAGCUUUAGGGCUAGCCUCAAGGUGAGAGAUACGGAGGUAGAGCACUGAAUGUCCUAGGGGGUAUUGCACCUA
rnacentral:rRNA from 1 species